CCUCUGCCUCCCAAAGUGCUGAGAUUUUAGGUAUGAGCCACUGUGCCUGGCCUAAUUUUUUUAAGAAACAAGAGAGCUAUUUUCUAAAUUAGCUUUGCCAAUUUAUAUUCCUACUAUGAUGCAUAGCACUAAUUUCACUGCACAAUGUGUGGUAGGCCCCAAUAUGUAAGAAAUGAUGAAAGUAACACAUAAAAAUUAGCAUAAAACAAAUGAGAUUAUCAUUGUUGCUAUCAUCUUUGUCAAAUUCUCAAAACAAUCUAAGUAUAUUUUUAUAUAAAUGUGCUUGGCAACAUAGCUGAAAAAAGCAUUAUCAGUAACAAAGACAUACAUUUGAAGGGGAAAAACACUUGUACUAACAACACAAUGUCAGAAUUAACAUACAAAUUCUGCUGGUCACUUUGGAAUAUUUAAUUGCUUGGGGCAGUGUUUUGUAGACAAAUGAACAUCUAUGGAGCACCCGAGGUAGGGGGAAUCAACAAGACUUGGGUUUCAAAAGUUAUCUGGGGUUACAACAUGAAACUGUUGGAGGACACACACCUUGUGUGAGUGAGGUGCCUCAGUGUGUGUGGACGUGUUGGAGGUAGAGCAUAAUGGUGGCUUCCUCCAGAAAGGGACAUUUGGGGUAGAUUCAUUCCAUUUGAACAACACAGCCUGAUGUGGCAUGGACAUGAAUGGAGGUGAAAUGGACAGUAGCUGACAGGAGCAGUCCUGACAAGGCCAAGGUGAAAAACCUGGGAAGUCCUUCAGGUGCAGAGCCUUCAGCUGAAAAAGGAGGUGGUCACAGGAAAUACUGAGAUGGAUCAGCAAUGCACGGGAGACAGAGUUCUUGGCCCUGUGGAGUGAGUAGUGUGGAUUCUCAAGUUUUCUCCUCUCUCCAUUAGUUUGUCUUCCAAUGCAGAUGACUUUGAACGUCCAAUGGAUCAUGAGAUUAUAGACAAGCCUCAGCCCGCUCUUGAAGGUAAAGGAAGGCUGCUAGCAAGACUAGUAUCUGGGCUUGGCUGUGCGUGUUUUCUAUUGUGGGGAAAUAUAUAUAACACAAUAUUUAUCAUUUUAACCUUUUAACCAAAGUGUGCACGCAGUGGCAUUCAAAAUAUUCACAGUGUUGCAUAACCAACACCACUAUCUACACCCGCAAUUUCGAUAAUUUCUUACAAAACCUUGUCCACAGUAAGCAAUAUAGCACCUUCCCCCUAUUUCCAGCCCACGGUGAUUCCUAUCCUGCUUUCUCUUGUAUGAAUUUGAUUAUUCUAGGCACUUCAUAUAAGUACAGUUAUACACUAUAUUCCUUUUGUGUCUGGCUUAUUUCACUAAGCAUAAUGUUCUCAAUGUCCACCCACAUUGUAUCAUCUAUCAAAAUUGUGUUCCUUUUUUACAGAUGGAUGAUGUACCACUGCAUGUAGACCAUCUUGCUUUUAUUACAUUCAUUUGUUCAUUGAUGGUUGGACUUUUCCAUCUUUUGGCUCCUGUGAAAAGUGAUACUACAAACAUUAUAUACAAAUAUCUCUUUGAUUUCUGUUUUCUAUUCUUUGGGGUAUAUACUUAAGAGUAGAGUUCCUGGGUCUAACAAGAGUUCUGUAUUUAACCACUGUUUUUCACAGUGGCUGCAAUUUUAUCCAUUUCUACCAGCAAUGUAUCAGGGUUGCAAUUUCUUUACAUCCUUGUUCACACUUAUUUUCCUUUAAAUCAUUCUAGUAGGUGUAUAUUGGUGUCUACUUGUGUUUUUCAUUUGCAUUUCUCUAAUGACUAAUGGUCCUAAGCAGCUUUUCCUGUGCUACUAUCCAUGGGUGUAUCUUCUUUAGGGAAAUAUAUAUUCAAGUCUUUUACCCAUUUUUGAAGAGUUGUCUGAUUUUUAUUUUGUUAGCUUGCUGUUGUAGAUUUUUGGAAGGUUUAAAAUAUAUUCUACAUUUUAGUCUCUUACCAGAUAAAUGAUUUGCAAAUAUUUCCCCCUUUGUGUAGAACUUUAGAUUCAUAAACUUCAUUAGUUUGUAUGAAAUUCUCAGCAGUUGACCUCAAACAGAUAAGACUGAAGCAAUAUUUUGGAAAUAGUUGAAAGUAUUAUCACAACAAAACAAAGGCAUAAUCAAAUCCUGCAAGCUCCACGUAAGGCACAAUGACAAAUAAGGCAGCAAAGGGCCAUCUGGUGAUUUGUUCACCACACUUGUUGCAACUGUUUGUGCUGCAGUUAAAACAUACCAGCAUUCAACCCAUGUCUCCUCUCUUGAAGUAAACUGUCCUAUGUUGGCUGGCCUGAACAAGCAUAGAUAGUCUCCAGCCUCAAUUAAUAUGCAUGCAUGACAAAGAAAAGGAGGCUUGGAUGAAAAAAUAUUGUAUGAUUAAUAAUUAUGCUUUAAUUAAUUUUAAAGGAUAUAAUUUCUGUGUUUGUGAUUCUCCCGUAGGCAAUUAUAACAAAGGAUUAGUGACUAAAUACAGUAGACUGUUUUGCCUAGAAUUGAAUCCUGUCUGUCUAUUAAGCUUUGCUUUUAUUCAAGUGCAAAAUGCUAAAACACAUAAUAACUGCAGUGACAGCCACUGUGGAUCCUCAGAGGAUUCCACAAAAAUGGUCUUGGGACAUAAAUCCUACAAGCUAAUAUUGUUUUACGGGGUUUAGAAAACCAUUUAACUGGGUUUCAAACCUCACAGUGUGAGCAGUGGGACUCUCAUUAAACUAUAGCGUGUGCUUCAAUACCAUUUGUAGACUGACUCAUUCCCAUUGCCUUAAGUUGCCAUCAGCAAAAUGCCAGGGACUCCAUUUCUUGCUCCUCAGCUCCUCGUUCUUGCCUGUCUUUCCACAAGGGAAGAUUUUUAGCAGGAGCUCAAGCUGUGCUUUUAAUGAAACACAUCCACACACACUGUCCUGUUGUCCACAUUAAGCAGAGCUCCCUGAAUAACUCAUGAACAAAAGCAUCUAUGACUAACUGUUGCUCUGUGUCCUCCUAGCCUCUGAGGAGUCUCUAAUUCACAAGGACAGAGGAGAUGGAGAGAGGCCAGUCAACACAAGGGUGGUGCAGGCGGCCCCUCUGAGUUGUGACUCUAAAGUGUUCUGAGCCACAUCCUUUAGCUUCACUAGUGCAGGACCACCCGGGAGGAUGGCCCAGCAUCAGCUCAGCCCAUGCUGUGAUCAGCCACCUCCAUGCACCACACCAAGCAAGCUCCCUGGGUGAUUCAGUCUCCACCACCAGGGCACCGACCUUUACUCUGUGUUCUCCUAGCUCCCUGUGGGGAUGCUGUGCAAGACAUCUCUAUUGAGGAUGCUGAAUAUGACAUCUGUAAUGAGGACACUGUACAAGACAUCUCCAAUGAGGAUGCUGUAGAAGACAUCGCCAAUGAGGACACUGUAUACGAGAUCGCUAAUGAGGACACUGUAUACGAGAUCGCUAAUGAGGACACUGUAUACGACAUCGCUAAUGAGAACGCUGUAUAUGACAUCGCUAACGAGGAUGCCGUAUAUGACAUCGCUAAUGAGGAUGCUGUAGAAGAUACUGCUAAUGAGGACGCUGUAUACGACAUUGCUAAUGAGGACACUGUACAAGACAUCUCUAAUGAGGAUGCUGUAGAAGACAUCUCUAAUGAGAACGCUGUAUACGACAUCGCUAAUGAGGACGCUGUAUACGACAUCGCUAAUGAGGACGCUGUAUACGACAUCGCUAAAGAGGAUGCUCUACAAGACAUCUCUAAAAAAGAAGAUGCUGCCACUGAUCCAUUUGUACUGGAGAAUGGUACGUACCCUGAAAUAACUCAUUUCCUGAGGGAAAAAUGCUGUCUCUAGGGUACAGAAACCUGAUUCUGGGCUCCUUUUGGGAAGGAGGAUUCCCAAAUCAUUGCUCUGAUGAGAGCAAAUGAUUUUGCAAGUAUAAAACAAUGUCCAGAGAGGCUGGAGGGAUAUCUGUGAGCCCAGAGGAAACACCAGGGGAUCCUACGUGAAGCACCAGAGCUUCAGCUGGGGUCAGAGGAGUGGGUGGGCCUCUCUCUAAUGACUUAUUCUGAUGUUUGUGUUUUAAAGAUCUGUUUUUGGAGAGCAUAUCCAGUGAUGAGGAUUUGUAGGUAGGUAACUACUUUCCAUGUAAGAUCCAAUGGGAGAGAGUUCCCAGGGGCCUUCAGUGUAUCCAUCUGCUUGGGAGGUUGAGGGAGGGGACAUGAAAUCAAAAAGAAAAAGGAAAUAUGUGUCAAAUUGGAUUUGGUAUUUUCCAAGUUUGUUGCCAUAAUGUAAGAACUGUCUCUCUGGGCUGUGACGGUGCUGUGUGAUUUAAAGGUGAUCUUUCCCAAAACACCUGGCCUUUUCUGCCUCUGCCUCUGCCAAACAUCACAGCCUUUGGGUUGGACUAGUCAGCACUGCUUGGGAUUGUGCAAAAGAGGUCUGAGGUUGCAUCAAGUGGCACCUGUGGUGAACAGAAUCUGAGGGCACAACUCCCUCAUAGGCACUUACUUGAACCUGGAGACAAAGUUCUCCUGGUGUGUGCCCAGGGGUGCAGGAGAAAUUGAUGGUCGUCCUCUGAACUUUUAGGACUUUAAAAAACAGUCAUGUUUCCAUCCUCGCUGUUGACUCCUGGCUUAAAAGGAUCUCCCAGGGUGAGUGAGGAGGCGGGAUCGGACCCUGGCAGUCUGAUGGCAACACCUGUGUUCCUCUGCACUGGGCCUUGGACAACAUUACACACCUUGAUCAUCCAUGGCUGGGGACUUCAUCCACGGCUGGGAACUUCAUCCACGGCUGGGGACUUCAUUCACAGCUGGCAGCUUCAUCCACAGCUGGGGGCUGCAUCCACAGCUGGGACUUCAUCCAUGACUGGGGACUUCAUUCACAGCUGGCAGCCUCAUCCACAGCUAGGGGCUGCAUCCACAACUGAGGCAUCAUUUACAGUUGGGGGCUUCCUCCACGGCUGGGACUUCAUCCACAACUGGGUCAUCAUCCGUGGCUGGGACUUAAUCCACGUCUGGGGGCUUCAUCCAUGUCUGGGGGCAUCAUCUGUGUCUGGGGGCAUCAUCCAUGGCUGGGGAGUUCAUCCACAGCUGGUUUGCCUGAUCUGUAUCUGAGUCACAGAUACAGAUUAUUAAACCCAGUAAUUUUAUUGAGUUCCACUUCUAUAGUUUUUGUUUCAAAAGUUGUUUGUUGAUAAUUUAAUGAAAUAAACGAAAUCAGAAUUACCCCCUUUUAAUUAUGUCCUUGUGUCAAUAUAGAAAGAGUGGAUUUAAGGAAACACUGAGAUGCCCCUGUCUGUGUUUGUGAACAGGACUGUCGGGUGUAAAGCCUUUCUCUGGUAGCUCUCCAGAAGAUUGCCCCACCUUACACUUGCUUUCUGCAGGUUCCAGAGGCUUCCAUUUGAAAGGAGACUCUCUCCCCACUCUGCCUCACCCCACACCAGCUCUCCUGUAACCCACAGACUUUGUAAAUGCUUUCUUCCACCUGCACCUCAUUGAAUUCAAAACUUGGAAUAUAGUCAAAAAUUCUAAAAAGGUGGGAGUGGGUGUGAUCUGGAAAUCCCUGCUGUAAUGUUUUUAAGGGAAUCUACUGGAAACUAUGUUUUAAAUAAAACCAACCAUCCCUUAGCACUAGAAUAUCAAGCCAUUCAUUUUUUAACAGAACUUUGAGAUAUAAUUCAAAUAUCAUAAAUUUCACCCCCACACAGUGUACACACAAUUCAAUGGUUUCUAAUAUAUUCCCAGAGGUCUGCAAAAAUUACCACAAUAUAAUUUUAGACAAUAUCAUUUAUUGACAUCCUUACAUGCAUAUAGAUGUAGAUAUAUAUAAUUUUAAUAUCAUCUUGAAUAUUGUCGUAUUUAAUAUUGUACUAUAAUAAUAUCUAUUUGUGUCUUUAUAUUGCUGUUUCAUUUUGUUAUUCUGAAUGACAAUCUCCAUGUACCUUUAUACAGGUUUAAAAUACACCUUUUUAGGACUCGAGAAAUUAAAUUGUUUCUAGUAAAUCACAUAAGAAACACACAUGCUGUUGUUAUAAAAAUUCAAAUACUGCUCAGAUCUGUAGAAUGAAAUGUAUCACCGCCAGCGCCCCACCCAUUCAGUCAUCCACAUCCACUUACACACAGAUAGACAUGCCCAUGUUUUUACAUAAUGUAAUCCUGCUUUGUGUGUUGUUCCCUGACUGGCUUUUCCAUAUAAAGUAGAAUUUGGUGAUCAUUGCUUAUCAGUACAUGUAGGUCUCUCUCAUUCUUAUUUAUAGUUGCAUCAUUAUUCAACAGGGUAUUUUACCAUAAUUUGGUCACUUUUUCACUGUGGAAUUCUUAUGUUGGAUUCAGUUAUUUAUUACGAUUACCUAUACUAUCCUGGGCAUACCUGUAUAUUCAUCUUUUUGGUAACUUAAUUAAGUGGGAUUUUUCUUUCAAGGUUGAUUUCUAAAAAUAAAAUACUGAGGCAAAGUAUAAAUCUUUA